CAUUUUGGAAGGCGCACCAGCACGACGGCCUGUCCGUGGGAUCGGUGGUAUGUUCCUUUGAAAAGUGCGCAAAGGCACUAUAAACUUCAUGAUUCCGACUAUGAGACUAAGGGAAAUAAUAAGAGGAGGGACUGAUUAUGAAGAAUUAAAGACCCAGGGGGGAUUGCUAAAAAAGAAUGGGGAUCUACUUGAGGCAAAAGAAGAGAAUUAGGAGGGCCAAAAUGCAAAGGUGCAGAUGUGAAGAGGGGAUCAAAAUCCCUAGCAGCCUCCAUUCCCAAAUCGGGCCUGGCACUUCUCUCUUUCCCUCACCCUCCUUCUCCACCUCCGGCCGACGCCAUGGCCAGGCCGUCGUGGUGGUGCGCGUCCCAGCCAUCCUACCUUACCCCUCCGUCCACAGCACCAGCGGCCUCCAACACCCCGUCCACCACAACAUACAUCAAUCUCAGCCGCCGCCGCCGCGCCUACAGCCAUCUCCCUACUGCUGCUGCUCUUUUCUCACCGCUGCUAUUCCUCCUCCUUCAACCUGCUGGUGCCCGCCCUCAAACCUAGACUUCUGCUUCUUUCUUCUCCAGCGCCCCCUUGCUGCUCCUCCACCUCUCUUCUUCACCCAAACUUUGCUGCAUGCUCUCUGCCUUCUCUGAAUCUCAACCUCCACUUGCCAACUGCUACUUCCCUUCUCUCAACCCUCGCUGCUCCUAUCUCAAUGCUCCCACCGCUGUUGCUCUCUACCUCUCUGCUGCUCCUCUCCCACAUCCCUGCUGGCUGCUACUACCUUUCCCCAAAGAACUGAUGCUCUCUCACUGCUGCUGCACCUUCUCUCCUUGCUGAACCUCUGCUACUGUUAAACUGCAUCUCUCUCAUUGUGUAAUUUUGUGAACAGUUACUGUGGAGACGUGAUCAACUAUAUUUUGUACUAGUUCAAUAUUUUAUGCCAUGUUCAUCAGCUAGUGGUUUGUAAAACUUCAGAUUACUUCUCGUGAAUUAUGUGUUGAAAUUUAGUGUGGAGUUGUAAUCUGUUUUACUAUUUCAAUGUAUGAGAAUUUUCUGUCAGUUAGUUUCCUGUGAUAUCCUGAUUACAUAUUGUGAUUAUUUUGUGUUGAUGUGGCUCUCUGUAGAAGUGAGAUGUAUGAACAUUUAAAGUCCAUUCCAUGUGAUAGCUUUGUCCCUGUGACAAAUAUGUUUGUAAUGCGAAACAUAUCUAUUAUGCUAUAUGUGUUCAUGUCCUGUCGUUUCCCUUUAUGUUAGUUUCUAAUUUCUCAAGCCUAAAAAAAUACCAAAAAUACAGUGAUUGCAUUCUUAUCCCCCUAUGCUUGUUUGCAUCUUCUUUGUCGACGUUUUUUAUGAAAUAUGAUAGUUUAGGUUUAUUUCCCUCAAUCAUCAUUUGAAUUGUAUUAUCUAGAUUUAACUGAGCAUAGACGCUGAUGUGCCUAGUCCCUAUGGAGAACAUGACACACUUGCAGAUUUGGGCGAAAUACCCCACUGUACUUACACCCGAUCAUUUUGGAAGGCGCACCAGCACGACGGCCUGUCCGUGGGAUCGGUGGUAUGUUCCUUUGGUGAGACCAGUAAAAUAUUAUCUUUGUUGCUUCCUUCAAAUCCAAUAAGUGGUUCUACCACAAUGUUGUGUUCCUAGUGAUAGGUGUCUCUCGGGAUCAUGCUCUCUUUAGGAACCUUGUGGCACAAUCCACAUUUAAACUGGCUGAUAUUCUUUUAUCUUUAUAAAAGUUUAAAAUGGUCAAGUCUACUAGUAUCCUGCCGCUUUAAAGCACUCCUAACCAUUAAUUUUCACUAGCUAAGUCCAAAGCAUGCAUCAUUCGGAGAUCUAUUUUACUAGGACAUUCUUUAUCAGUUUACUAUUCACUAUCUUGCCUUUGUCAUAUUCCUUUGCUUGAGGACAAGCAAAGAUUUAAGUGUGCGGGAACUUGAUAAGUAUAUUUCACAUAUAUAAUUCGCACUCAAAUAUACCAUCUAUUGUGAUCUAUUCAUCCAUUCUUGCUAUGUUUGAUUGACUGUUUGCAUGAUAAUCAUAAAAAGGGAACAUUUACUAGUCAUUUGUUUCUUUUGCAGAAAAGUGCGCAAAGGCACUAUAAACUUCAUGAUUCCGACUAUGAGACUAAGGGAAAUAAUAAGAGGAGGGACUGAUUAUGAAGAAUUAAAGACCCAGGGGGGAUUGCUAAAAAAGAAUGGGGAUCUACUUGAGGCAAAAGAAGAGAAUUAGGAGGGCCAAAAUGCAAAGGUGCAGAUGUGAAGAGGGGAUCAAAAUCCCUAGCAGCCUCCAUUCCCAAAUCGGGCCUGGCACUUCUCUCUUUCCCUCACCCUCCUUCUCCACCUCCGGCCGACGCCAUGGCCAGGCCGUCGUGGUGGUGCGCGUCCCAGCCACCCUACCUUACCCCUCCGUCCACAGCACCAGCGGCCUCCAACACCCCGUCCACCACAACAUACAUCAAUCUCAGCCGCCGCCGCCGCGCCUACAGCCAUCUCCCUACUGCUGCUGCUCUUUUCUCACCGCUGCUAUUCCUCCUCCUUCAACCUGCUGGUGCCCGCCCUCAAACCUAGACUUCUGCUUCUUUCUUCUCCAGCGCCCCUUGCUGCUCCUCCACCUCUCUUCUUCACCCAAACUUUGCUGCAUGCUCUCUGCCUUCUCUGAAUCUCAACCUCCACUUGCCAACUGCUACUUCCCUUCUCUCAACCCUCGCUGCUCCUAUCUCAAUGCUCCCACCGCUGUUGCUCUCUACCUCUCUGCUGCUCCUCUCCCACAUCCCUGCUGGCUGCUACUACCUUUCCCCAAAAGAACUGAUGCUCUCUCACUGCUGCUGCACCUUCUCUCCUUGCUGAACCUCUGCUACUGUUAAACUGCAUCUCUCUCAUUGUGUAAUUUUGUGAACAGUUACUGUGGAGACGUGAUCAACUAUAUUUUGUACUAGUUCAAUAUUUUAUGCCAUGUUCAUCAGCUAGUGGUUUGUAAAACUUCAGAUUACUUCUCGUGAAUUAUGUGUUGAAAUUUAGUGUGGAGUUGUAAUCUGUUUUACUAUUUCAAUGUAUGAGAAUUUUCUGUCAGUUAGUUUCCUGUGAUAUCCUGAUUACAUAUUGUGAUUAUUUUGUGUUGAUGUGGCUCUCUGUAGAAGUGAGAUGUAUGAACAUUUAAAGUCCAUUCCAUGUGAUAGCUUUGUCCCUGUGACAAAUAUGUUUGUAAUGCGAAACAUAUCUAUUAUGCUAUAUGUGUUCAUGUCCUGUCGUUUCCCUUUAUGUUAGUUUCUAAUUUCUCAAGCCUAAAAAAAUACCAAAAAUACAGUGAUUGCAUUCUUAUCCCCCUAUGCUUGUUUGCAUCUUCUUUGUCGACGUUUUUUAUGAAAUAUGAUAGUUUAGGUUUAUUUCCCUCAAUCAUCAUUUGAAUUGUAUUAUCUAGAUUUAACUGAGCAUAGACGCUGAUGUGCCUAGUCCCUAUGGAGAACAUGACACACUUGCAGAUUUGGGCGAAAUACCCCACUGUACUUACACCCGAUCAUUUUGGAAGGCGCACCAGCACGACGGCCUGUCCGUGGGAUCGGUGGUAUGUUCCUUUGGUGAGACCAGUAAAAUAUUAUCUUUGUUGCUUCCUUCAAAUCCAAUAAGUGGUUCUACCACAAUGUUGUGUUCCUAGUGAUAGGUGUCUCUCGGGAUCAUGCUCUCUUUAGGAACCUUGUGGCACAAUCCACAUUUAAACUGGCUGAUAUUCUUUUAUCUUUAUAAAAGUUUAAAAUGGUCAAGUCUACUAGUAUCCUGCCGCUUUAAAGCACUCCUAACCAUUAAUUUUCACUAGCUAAGUCCAAAGCAUGCAUCAUUCGGAGAUCUAUUUUACUAGGACAUUCUUUAUCAGUUUACUAUUCACUAUCUUGCCUUUGUCAUAUUCCUUUGCUUGAGGACAAGCAAAGAUUUAAGUGUGCGGGAACUUGAUAAGUAUAUUUCACAUAUAUAAUUCGCACUCAAAUAUACCAUCUAUUGUGAUCUAUUCAUCCAUUCUUGCUAUGUUUGAUUGACUGUUUGCAUGAUAAUCAUAAAAAGGGAACAUUUACUAGUCAUUUGUUUCUUUUGCAGAAAAGUGCGCAAAGGCACUAUAAACUUCAUGAUUCCGACUAUGAGACUAAGGGAAAUAAUAAGAGGAGGGACUGAUUAUGAAGAAUUAAAGACCCAGGGGGGAUUGCUAAAAAAGAAUGGGGAUCUACUUGAGGCAAAAGAAGAGAAUUAGGAGGGCCAAAAUGCAAAGGUGCAGAUGUGAAGAGGGGAUCAAAAUCCCUAGCAGCCUCCAUUCCCAAAUCGGGCCUGGCACUUCUCUCUUUCCCUCACCCUCCUUCUCCACCUCCGGCCGACGCCAUGGCUAGGCCGUCGUGGUGGUGCGCGUCCCAGCCAUCCUACCUUACCCCUUUGUUCACAGCACUAGCGGCCUCCAACACCCCAUCCACCGCAACAUACAUCAAUCUCAGCCGCCGCCGCUGCGCCUACAGCCAUCUCCCUACUGCUGCUGCUCUUUUCUCACCGCUGCUAUUCCUCCUCCUUCAACCGGCUGGUGCUCGCCCUCAAACCUAGCCCGCUACUUCUUUCUUCUCCAGCGCCCCCUGGCUGCUCCUCCACUUCUCUUCUUCACUCAUACUUUCCUGCAUGCUCUCCGCCUUCUCUGAAUCUCAACCUCCACUUGCCAACUACUGCUUCCCUUCUCUCAACCCUCGCUGCUCCAUCUCAAUGCUGCCGCUGCUGCUGCUCUCUACCUCUCUGCUGCUCCUCUCCCACAUCCCUGCUGGCUGCUACUACCUUUCCCCAAAACAAUUGAUGCUCUCUCACUGCUGCUGCACCUUCUCUCCUUGCUGAACCUCUACUACCGUUAAACUGCAUCUCUCUCGUUGUGUAAUUUUGUGAACAGUUACUGUGGAGACUUGAUCAACUAUAUUUUGUACUAGUUCAAUAUUUUGUGCCAUGUUCAUCAGCUAGUGGUUUGUAAAACUUCAGAUUACUUCUUGUGAAUUAUGUGUUGAAAUUUAGUGUGGAGUUGUAAUAUGUUUUACUAUUUCAAUGUAUGAGAAUUUUCUGUCA